UCCCUUCUAGUUUGUCAUUUCCCAGUCUCUGGUUAGGUUAGAAGUUUCUCCCCUGUUAAGGGGAACUACGUCGCCCUGAUCCUCAUACCAGAUGAGGUACGUAGGCAGGAGAUCGUACGAGAUCUCUCUGGGCACCUUUUUUUUCUUUUUUGUGUGUGUUUGCUUGACAGCUAGCAGGCUCGAGUACCAGAUUCCCUGUUAGCUUGUUUGUUCAACCCUUUUUUGUUGCUUUUGAC
rnacentral:lncRNA from 1 species